rnacentral:rRNA from 1 species
UACGUAGGGUGCGAGCGUUAAUCGGAAUUACUGGGCGUAAAGCGUGCGCAGGCGGUGAUGUAAGACCCGAUGGUGAAAUCCCCGGGCUUAACCUGGGAACUGCAUUGGUGACUGCAUUGCUGGAGUAUGGCAGAGGGGGGGGGUGGAAUUCCACGUGUAGCAGUGAAAUGCGUAGAGAUGUGGAGGAACACCGAUGGCGAAGGCAGCCCCCUGGGCCAAUACUGACGCUCAUGCACGAAAGCGUGGGGAGCAAACAGGAUUGAGAUA